GAGUAGGGGAAGGCAGGGAAAGAACUGUGAUGAGGCAAGUUCUUGCCAUUAUUCCCCAGGGUCAAAUGGAAAAAAGGUAGGCUUCUGUGGUCUUAAUACAGAAGCAACUACAGCAGUCUCUGCAUUAGAAAAUGAUACAGGUUUAUUGCAUUAAUUAAUUCAGUAAACAUUUGUGGAGCUUCCUUCAAUUUGUGCCAGGCACUUUGCUGUUGGUGAGAAUACUAUUCCAGGGUUUUGGCUCUGUCAGCUGCUUCCUUAAAAAAAAAAAAAAAAGAAAGAAAAUCUUAAACAAGAGCUUAUUAUCCUGCAUCCUAAUGGGCUCAUACAUCCAGCAAGGCGGGAUUGUCUAACAGUAGAUAUCUUUGAAUGCCCAUAGCUUCUGUAACAACAGAGCGCUCAUACAUAACACCCCAGCUUAGAGACUUCUACCCAGUGUGUUUUCUCUUUGGGAAUCUGUACACUUAUAAUGUCAGAUACUACUUUUAAUACAAGUGGCUCCAUUUUGAAGUGGAAGAUCUUCUCAAACACCUGACUUCAAUGUAUCUCAUGAUUUUUUUUAAAUUUUGAAAAUGUCAUCUCUUGGUCUUUUGGGUUCUUGGCUGUCAGUAUACUAAAACAACCUUGGUUAAAAUACUAAUGUAUUUACCAUAAAA